AGAGUUUGAUCCUGGCUCAGGAUGAACGCUGGCGGCGUGCUUAACACAUGCAAGUCGAACGGUCCUUCGGGACAGUGGCGGACGGGUGAGUAACGCGUGGGAAUCUGCCCUUAGGAGGGGGAUAACGGUUGGAAACGACCGCUAAUACCCCAUAUGCCGAGAGGUGAAAUGAAAUUCGCCUGAGGAUGAGCCCGCGUCUGAUUAGCUAGUUGGUGGGGUAAAGGCCUACCAAGGCGACGAUCAGUAGCUGGUCUGAGAGGAUGAUCAGCCACACUGGGACUGAGACACGGCCCAGACUCCUACGGGAGGCAGCAGUGGGGAAUUUUCCGCAAUGGGCGAAAGCCUGACGGAGCAACGCCGCGUGAGGGAUGAAGGCCUCUGGGCUGUAAACCUCUUUUCUCAAGGAAGAAGAUCUGACGGUACUUGAGGAAUAAGCCACGGCUAAUUCCGUGCCAGCAGCCGCGGUAAUACGGGAGUGGCAAGCGUUAUCCGGAAUUAUUGGGCGUAAAGCGUCCGCAGGCGGCCUUGUAAGUCUGUUGUUAAAGCGUGGAGCUUAACUCCAUUUCAGCAAUGGAAACUACAAGGCUCGAGUGUGGUAGGGGCAGAGGGAAUUCCCGGUGUAGCGGUGAAAUGCGUAGAUAUCGGGAAGAACACCAGUGGCGAAGGCGCUCUGCUGGGCCAUAACUGACGCUCAUGGACGAAAGCCAGGGGAGCGAAAGGGAUUAGAUACCCCUGUAGUCCUGGCCGUAAACGGUGAACACUAGGUGUCGGGGGAAUCGACCCCCUCGGUGUCGUAGCCAACGCGUUAAGUGUUCCGUCUGGGGAGUACGCUCGCAAGAGUGAAACUCAAAGGAAUUGACGGGGGCCCGCACAAGCGGUGGAACAUGUGGUUUAAUUCGAUGAUACGCGAGGAACCUUACCUGGGCUUAAAUGUAGGACGACGAAACGGGAAACCGAUUCUCUCUUCGGAGCGGACUACAAGGUGCUGCAUGGUUGUCGUCAGCUCGUGCCGUGAGGUGUCGGGUUAAGUCCCAUAACGAGCGCAACCCCUAUCGUUAGUUGCCAGCGGAUCAUGCCGGGGACUCUAACGAAACUGCCGGUGUAAACCGAGAGGAAGGUGGGGAUGACGUCAAAUCAGCACGGCCCUUAUGUCCAGGGCUACACACGUGUUACAAUGGUUGGUACAGAGGGCAGCUACCUAGUGAUAGGAUGCAAAUCUCGAAAGCCAAUCUCAUUUCGGAUUGGAGUCUGCAACUCGACUCCAUGAAGCUGGAAUCGCUGGUAAUCGCGUAUCAGCAAUGACGCGGUGAAUACGUUCCCGGGCCUUGUACACACCGCCCGUCAAGCCAUGGAAGCUGGGGGUACCUGAAGUCUGUAACCGCAAGGAGCGGCCUAGGGUAAAACUAGUAACUGGGGCUAAGUCGAAACAAGGUA
rnacentral:rRNA from 1 species